GAAGGACCAAGGUCCAAAAGAUACUCAUCAAGCUCAGAAAUUAGAAGUCUCCAGGAGAAACCCUUGGAUUUAGGUGUGAAACUGAAUAAUCACAAGGUCAGGACAUACUGGGUCUUGCGCCCAAAUGUUACAAUCCUCGUGCCAACAAAGCAAUAAAGGAAAACAAAA